CGGGAUGUGACAGUUGAGGCUGGGAGCAGAAAUAAUCAACAUGCCCAUUAGAUACAGGACGGAAUAAUGCUUCUAUUGGUUGGGUCCCUUCGAGGACAGAAGAGCUCCUUGGCACUGGAUGCCUCCGGGUCUGGUUGAGAGAGGAAUGGUUAGGAGACUGUUCUGAGGAUACGCAGACAUCAUCCAAAGCUUCCUACAUUCAGAUGAGGACAGAGGUUGGGCCAGAGCUUUGUAAGCUUGUUACCUAAGGAUGGUUCUGACCAUGUAAGCAGAUCACAGAAGCUGGAGGCAAAGGAUGCCAAGAUGGGAAAGCCACAUAAUGGAAGGAUCCUGGAUUUCAGAGCUGUCACUUGGAGGAGGGGCACCCAGUGAAGGUGUCUUAUCUAACCCACACCAUAUCUUCAUGAAGUGGCCAUAUGGAUUUGAUCCCUAUCCUUCAGAGGUGCUCAGCCUAAGGGAACACGGAUAGUAGAUUAAGCACUGACCAGAGCCAGCCUUGACAAUGUGCUGAUGGCAACCU
rnacentral:lncRNA from 1 species